AGAUGUGGGGCACUGGGAAUACUCUGGGUCUGUCUGCUCACGGCUGAUUGCCUCAUUCCCAGUUUUAUUAUACACCUUAGAUACAGACCAGAAGAGGAGUUUGGGGCUUGACACCUGACAUCUUAACACCAGUUCCUGUUUCUUGAGGAAGGAAGAGGUAAAAUAAAUCAGCGUUUUCUGUGUCCUUCUCCAUCCCCGGAAGUCCUCAUGAAGACCCUCUCAGCUUCAACUUGAACGUGAAUAUGAGCAGCUGAUCAUCUGUUCUGCAGUCAGCCCCUGGCCAGAUUCUGACUCAUGAUAUUGACCUUCUCCAUCAUCACCUUCCACAAAUUUGAUUCCUGUCUUUUCUGCCUGGAAUGGUUCACGAGUAUAGUCACCGUUUAUGUUCCUGACGAAAGCUGAAUGCCUGGUUCCUGGUCUUACUAUACAAGUUUCAUAAAGGAUGCGAAGAGGAGUUUGGGCUUGACACCUGACAUCUUAGCAGUGGUUCCUGUUUGUUUGGGAGGCAAGUGGUGAAAAGAAGGCAGCAUCUACUACUUCCUUUUCCAUGAGUCUCAGAAAAUCCUCCUGAAGACCGUCUCAGAUCAGAGGACUAGAAGAAAAAGCCUGACUGAGAUGAAAAUAACAAAAGAGACGGCAAGAAGACGGAUGAUCAGAGGUGAAGAGUGACGGACUCUCCUGCGAGGGACAUGGUCAGAGGCGGAGGAAGCGAGGGCUUUCAGGCGAGGGGAAUUCUGCAGUCUCUGAUGAUCAAACAGAAAGCCCUGGAUGCUCAGAGGUGUAGAGACCAGAAGAGCUCAUUGUCUCCAAGAACAAGCGUGAAAUCUGCUGGGUCUGACUGUUGAGCAGUCUGUGGUGUGCUCUUCUUCCAGUGAUUAAAAUCUUUGUAUCUGUUGUUAAAGAUAUUUUCCCCCUGUUCAAAAAAAAAAUCCAACAAAAUGUUUUUAAAAUAAUGUAUCUAUGAUGAUGUUUAUCAACUUUCAAAGCUCUGAAAGUCUUUUGUAUAACACCUCUAAGGGUACAGAUUUGUAUAAUGAAAAAGUUACAGUCAUGGCCCCACCCUCAUAUGUAAUUUGGUCCUGCACCCCCAAGGCGUCCAAUGUUAAUAGACACAUGUGUAUCUUUCCCUACGUUUCUCAGCUGGGACCCAUACACACAGUCACAGGUUCACAAGUAGAUCCCCUGGUUCGUUUGCUUUAAUGGAAAUUGGGUCAUACUCUACCCACAGUGCUCUGUAAAUUGCUGAUUCCCUGAAGGUCAUUAGGUAUGGCACUAACAUUGCCUUUUUGGGUCUUCUAAGAUUGAACUCAUAUUUACACAUAAAGCAUUUAAAUAAAUGAGAACAAUUACUGUAUACACUAUCUAGACUCAUAGCACUAAAAAAAAAAAUUUUUUUUUUUUAUUGAACUCAUAUUUACACAUAAAGCAUUUAAAUAGAUGAGAACCAUUACUGUAUACACUAUCUAGACUCAUACAUAGCACUACUACAGUGGAAACACAUAUCACCCGUGCUUUCUAAGUCCGCUCUUCCUGCAUGUUCUAACUCUCCCCCCCCACGCCCAGUCCUUUUCCAGAAGUGAAUCCAAGGUAACUCAGGUUAACAAUGUGGUAAGUAGUCUCUCUUACCCUUGCUUAUAUGAGCACACACAGACAUACAUGUAUCUUCGUCUCCUCAUUUAUAAACUCACAUAAACACAAACAGGUAUUCAAGCAUACUCAAACAAUUGCUAUUGCUUUACCCUAAUGUGCUCAUUUUAUACAGACUUCUCUGCACCUUGAUUUUCUCCUUCAAUAAUACUUCACAGAGAUUUCUCCUGUUUAACUACUAGAGUUCUUUUUCAUUCUAAUGACUCAAACUUUAUUGAUUUAGCUCUACCAUAAAUUAUCUAUCUUUCCACCAUCCAUGAGCAGUCGAUUUUUUGCCAUUAUUAACAAUAACCAUGCUUUGUAUACUAGAGGAUUUGCUUCCAUGGGAUAGAUUCCAAAGGGUGAGAUUUCUAGGUCAAAGAAUGUUUCAAAAUUACAGAGCCAUGUCCAUGUCUUUCCCCUAAAGGCUGUCAUAAUGCCCCUUUCCAACCAUGUCUGAGGCAUCCUUCUCCCCACAGCACCCCCCGGCCCCAGCCAUAGGUGGUGUAGAUUUUUAAAUUGUACUGGUUUCACUGGGACUUUGAUAUUUUCUUCACUGCCAGUGUUUUUGAACAACUUUGAUUAUGCUUAUUGGCCAUUCGUAUUUGCUCUGAAUGCCCUUUUGAAUUCAUUGCUCAUUUUGCAAGUCCUCUAUUUUUGUCUUCCUUAUAUAAAACGGAAAACGUUGUUAAUUCUUAGCACCGACAUUUCCCAUAAUUUCCCAAAUCCAUCACUGAUGUAUCACAUUCCUAGAAGUUUUUUUUUUUUUCUUUUUGCUGAGAAUGAUCAGUUGAGUCAGCAGCAUUUAUAAGAUAAACCAUAAUUUUCCUGAGUUGAAAUACCACCUCUGUAUUAACGGUUAUUAUGAUAAUCUCUGUGGAUUCGCUACUUUGUUUCCUUGGUCUAGCUUUCAGUUCCUAUGCUAUGUAAUAUUUGUUCCAUUAGUUGAUGAAGCAGCCUCCUUCUUUUUCAGGUUUUGUUGUCUGUUCUUUGGUAUCUAUUAUACUAUUUGCAUCUUAAGAUUACUGUAUACAAUUCAACAAAUAACUAGGUAAAUAUUCUAAUGGGAAUUGCAAUACAUUUGUAUGUUGAUUUUGGGGGACCAUCAUUGAUUAAACAAGACUUCCCAUUUGAGAAAACAUAUUUUUUGCAUUAUUAAGGUUUAAUUUUAUUUCCUCCUCUACUUCAAAUAGGUUCUUUUCUGUUCCAGUCAAAACAACGUUUUCCUAAGUAGUUUAUGGUUUUGGACACAAUUUGAUGCAAUCGUGUAGUAAAGAAAAUUGUCUUUAUUCCUCCCACCCUGAAACUUCCAAUUUUGGGCACUGUGUCUAGAUUGGAGAGAAGUCAUUGAUUUUGGUAUAUUUGGCUUGUCAGUUUACCAAAAUUUUUAUCCUCAUUUUCUAGGUAUGCAAUUAUAUUAUCAUCAUAAAAAGAAGAAAAUCUGUUUUAAUAUUUAAUUCAUUCCUUAACUUUUCUAGCUCAUUAAUUCACCUAGAAAAGUAUGUUGGGUCAUAAAAGUAAUAACAGUAUAUUUGUCUACUUCGAAAUUUUAUUAGCAUGAAUGGAGUAUUUUUCCAUUUAUCUAAUAUCUACUAUGUUUUAUGAUAAUUUUUUAUGCCCCAGUACAUAAUAUAUUGACCUGCUGACCG